AUUGAACGCUGGCGGCAGGCCUAACACAUGCAAGUCGAGCGGAUGAAGGGAGCUUGCUCCUGGAUUCAGCGGCGGACGGGUGAGUAAUGCCUAGGAAUCUGCCUGGUAGUGGGGGAUAACGUCCGGAAACGGGCGCUAAUACCGCAUACGUCCUGAGGGAGAAAGUGGGGGAUCUUCGGACCUCACGCUAUCAGAUGAGCCUAGGUCGGAUUAGCUAGUUGGUGGGGUAAAGGCCUACCAAGGCGACGAUCCGUAACUGGUCUGAGAGGAUGAUCGGUCACACUGGAACUGAGACACGGUCCAGACUCCCACGGGAGGCAGCAGUGGGGAAUAUUGGACAAUGGGCGAAAGCCUGAUCCAGCCAUGCCGCGUGUGUGAAGAAGGUCUUCGGAUUGUAAAGCACUUUAAGUUGGGAGGAAGGGCAGUAAGUUAAUACCUUGCUGUUUUGACGUUACCAACAGAAUAAGCACCGGCUAACUUCGUG
rnacentral:rRNA from 1 species